rnacentral:rRNA from 1 species
CAGCCGCCACGGUAAUACGAAGGGGGCUAGCGUUGUUCGGAUUUACUGGGCGUAAAGCGCACGUAGGCGGAUCGAUCAGUCAGGGGUGAAAUCCCAGAGCUCAACUCUGGAACUGCCUUUGAUACUGUCGAUCUGGAGUAUGGAAGAGGUGAGUGGAAUUCCGAGUGUAGAGGUGAAAUUCGUAGAUAUUCGGAGGAACACCAGUGGCGAAGGCGGCUCACUGGUCCAUUACUGACGCUGAGGUGCGAAAGCGUGGGGAGCAAACAGGAUUAGAUACCCGCGUAGUCCCUGUCUCUUAUAA